AGAGUUUGAUCCUGGCUCAGAACGAACGCUGGCGGCAGGCUUAACACAUGCAAGUCGAACGAUCCCUUCGGGGAUAGUGGCAGACGGGUGAGUAACGCGUGGGAACCUACCUUUAGGUACGGAACAACAGUUGGAAACGACUGCUAAUACCGUAUGUGCCCUAUGGGGGAAAGAUUUAUCGCCUAAGGAUGGGCCCGCGUUGGAUUAGCUAGUUGGUGGGGUAAUGGCCUACCAAGGCGACGAUCCAUAGCUGGUCUGAGAGGAUGAUCAGCCACACUGGGACUGAGACACGGCCCAGACUCCUACGGGAGGCAGCAGUGGGGAAUAUUGGACAAUGGGGGCAACCCUGAUCCAGCCAUGCCGCGUGAGUGAUGAAGGCCCUAGGGUUGUAAAGCUCUUUCAGCGAGGAGGAUAAUGACGUUACUCGCAGAAGAAGCCCCGGCUAACUUCGUGCCAGCAGCCGCGGUAAUACGAAGGGGGCUAGCGUUGUUCGGAAUCACUGGGCGUAAAGCGCAAGUAGGCGGAUUGAUAAGUUAGGGGUGAAAUCCCGGGGCUCAACCUCAAAACUACCUUUAAUACUAUCAAUCUUAAUCC
rnacentral:rRNA from 1 species